UGCUAGUCUUAAUGGGUUCUAGAAAGUUCUCCUUGCUGCAUUCAUGAGAUUCCUUUCAUUGGUGUUGUUCGUUCCUGCUGCUAGAAUUGCACGUUCCUUUUGGCUUGGAACUGAUCAGAUUCGUUGCAAUUUGUCCAUGAUCACUUGUGGAUGGUUUGGUCGCACCAUCCUUUAUGCAAACCAACUGUUUGUUAUAUUUACUGCUUUGAUUUGGAUUAAGCCUUUAGCUGAGAUUUUCGUGAACAACUCAAACUUCAACAAUAACAAUAGUAAGGGUGGCAGUGAAGUUGGCAAUGCAGAGAAAUUGUUGGGAAACAUGGGGUUUUCACCUUCUGAUUUCGGGAACUUUAGGUGGUGGUGCUUGUUUGGGUCUAGUUUGUUGCAGAUUGUGGCAUUAAGGCCAAGCCUUCAGAUGUAUCUGAAUGAAGCUCUUUUAUCUUGGUACCAAAGGCUCCAUGCUAGUAAGGUUCCUGACUUGGAUUAUAGCAGGGCAAAGAUGUUUCUGCAUAAUCACUACUUGUGCCUUGUGGUUUUGCAGUUCCUUGGCCCACCUGUGCUGGUACUUCUCUUUCUUGGGUUAUCUCAAAUUGAUGUUCCUUCUAUUGCAAACCUCCCAUUAUUGAGUGAUUUACUUCCUAGCUCUACAUUAGUCAAGGGAGUUGCUUUGUUUUUGUCGUGGUGGAUAACCUUCCUUUAUGCAAUAUUCUCUUCAGUGAUGCUUCUGCUUCAUCGCCAUUGUGUGCUAUACAUUUCUUGAGCCCUUUUGUUUUGUUGAGGGCGUUUUCCCUUGGGCCUUUCGGUGAGCCUUUUAUUCUUGAGUCGUCCUCUAUGUAUCACUUGUCCACCUUGAGAUGAUCUCGGAUUCUUCAGGCUGGAUGAAUUAUACUCGGUUGGGGAAGAACACGGAGUGUGGGCACCUGCAAAAGGCACUUCAACGCCCAAGUCAGUGUUUUGUGUAAUCUUGUAUGAAUUAAGAUUGAGUUAAAAAACAUAACUCUUCUUUCCAUAUUGCCUUUUAUAGGAUUUGUAGAAAUAUAGCUGUUAAUCAAUUACAAAUAAGGUAUAAAGAAUGAAAAUCAUAACCGAACUAUAAUGCUGAUUAUGUAUUGAUGACCAAAUUAUAGAUAAAUCAUAACUGAGUUAUAGCGGGCA